CGGACGGGUGAGUAAUGUCUGGGAAACUGCCUGAUGGAGGGGGAUAACUGCUGGAAACGGUAGCUAAUACCGCAUAACGUCGCAAGACCAAAGAGGGGGACCUUCGGGCCUCCUGCCAUCGGAUGUGCCCAGAUGGGAUUAGCUAGUAGGUGGGGUAACGGCCCACCUAGGCGACGAUCCCUAGCUGGUCUGAGAGGAUGACCAGCCACACUGGAACUGAGACACGGUCCAG
rnacentral:rRNA from 1 species